AGCAGCCGCGGUAAUUCCAGCUCCAAUAGCGUAUAUUAAAGUUGUUGCAGUUAAAAAGCUCGUAGUUGAAUUUCGGGAUUAAUUUAUUGGUCGUGCUAUUGUACGUACUGGUAUUAUUGGUUUCUCCUUUCUGACGAAUCAUAAUGCCAUUAAUUUGGUGUUUUAGGGAAUCAGGACUGUUACUUUGAAAAAAU
rnacentral:rRNA from 1 species